rnacentral:rRNA from 1 species
CCUACGGGAGGCAGCAGUGGGGAAUAUUGCACAAUGGGGGAAACCCUGAUGCAGCGACGCCGCGUGAGUGAAGAAGUAAUUCGUUAUGUAAAGCUCUAUCAGCAGGGAAGAAAAUGACGGUACCUGAGUAAGAAGCCCCGGCUAACUACGUGCCAGCAGCCGCGGUAAUACGUAGGGGGCAAGCGGUUACCGGAUUUACUGGGUGUAAAGGGAGCGUAGACGGCAGUGCAAGUCUGGAGUGAAAGGCGGGGGGUCAACCCCCGGACUGCUCUGGAAACUGUACGGCUGGAGUGCAGGAGAGGUAAGUGGAAUGCCUGGUGUAGCGGUGAAAUGCGUAGAUAUUAGGAGGAACACCGGUGGCGAAGGCGGCUUACUGGACUGUAACUGACGUUGAGGCUCGAAAGCGUGGGGAGCGAACAGGAUUAGAUACCCCAGUAGUC